GGCUCCCCCUCUGACAGCCUUCCAGCACCCCUGAAACCACCUGCUCUCCUCUCACAGGUAAAGCUCCACUUGGGCUCAAGACAGGGACACAUCUCAGGAGCACAGAGGACCUGGGCAGCCUGACUCAGCCUCUCCAGAUAUCAGAAGAGCCUCACCCACAUGCAAAUCCCUCCUCCUGCUCUGGGUUCAAAGGCCCUCUGGGCUGUGGGAGCUCCCAGCUCUCUGCUCAGACAGGGCUGAGGUCUCUGGGAAGGCAGGUGUGGUCUAGAAGAUGAGGCUGCUGGGUCUUGUCCUGUGCCUGGUCACAGCUCCCCAAGGUUUCCUGUGCCAGGUGCAGCUGCAGGAGUCAGGACCGGGCCUGGUGAAGCCCUCACAGACCCUGUCCCUCACUUGUGCUGUCUCUGGAUUCUCCAUCACAACCAGUGGUUACUGCUGGAACUGGAUCCGUCAGCCCCCAGGGAAGGGGUUGGAGUGGAUAGGAUGCAUAAGUUAUGAUGGUAGCACUUACUACAGCCCAUCCCUCAAGAGCCGAGUGUCCAUCUCCAGAGACACGUCCAAGAACCAGUUCUCCCUGAAGCUGAGCUCCCUGACCACUGAGGACACAGCCACCUAUUACUGUGCCAGAGACACAGUGAGGGGACCUCAGUGUGAGCCCAGACACAAACCUCCUGCAGGGUGCCCAGGGCCAGCAGGGGGCGCUCAGCACACAGCAGCUCAGGUGCCCCCUUCAGAGCAGCAGAGGAGAGUGGAUGGUUUCUCUCCAGGUGAUCAGUGUCUCCCUGGAUCCCAUCAUGGAGAAUCUGGAGGUCUCUUCUGCCUCAGAUCAUCCCAUGCUCUUCUCUUAUGGAGUCAGGAGUGUCUUUCUCCACCUGUCUCAG